UACACGUCACUAGGGAACCACGCGAGGACAAGGGAGAUACAUGUUCAAGUGAAUGGAUCUUGUCAAGGUCAAAUGAGUGAUGGGCUGCCCCGUAUACAGUCACUACAGGUCUUCUCUUUUGGGCUGGACCUCGCUUUACAAGCGGGACGAGAACGCCGAGACGUGCGCCGAGGGACCAGGUCAGAGCUUCAAGUUAAGGAAGACAGUGAUGGCACCCAUUAUCUACUGUGUACGGACGAUGUGUCGAAAACAAAUUUCCGGGGGUUAAACUCAAGGAAGCUGGAUCCCCAAUGUGUAUGAAGAUAAUGACAAUUCUGAAAAAUGCAAUUUGCAUGAACAAUAUGUGUCAACGUGUCCGGAAAGUGAUAAAACGGAUUCAUUUCAUUUGAGGCCUAAACUAUCUGACAGCUGCAUUAUGGUUCGAUGGCGUUGCAGUUGUUAGUCAUAACUGUAAUAUCUAUAAAAUACCGUAUCUCUAA